AUGGGUUGCCUUUUACCAUUGCACAUGAUAAUUUUGAUAGAUAUAAUAUGCAUGUGCUUGCUGCUCCUACGCAAUUAUUAUGAGAGAGGAACUAUAUCUCCACCUCUCUAUGUUUCCCAUACGAUAAAAUUGCAAGAAACUGCUUAUACUAUGCAUUGGCCUUUACUAUGUGUGCAUGAAUUGUUUUUUUAUGACAUGCCGAUGCAUAGGAAGAGAGUUAGACUUCGUUGUUGCAUGAUAUAUGUUACUUUGUGCUCACUACUAAAUUACAAAUCAUUGUUAAUUAAAAUUGGCUUUGAUAUACCUUGGGAUCCGGGUGGAUUCAUUACUUGA
rnacentral:rRNA from 1 species